CAGCUUCCUUUUCUUUCCCCAAAGUCAAGACCUAUGACUACUAUGCAGAGAGGUCUAUGAUCUGGGAAAGUAAUUGGUUAGUAAAUCAUAGAGUAGGAUGUUCGUUCUAUGACAACAUCAAGUAUACUUGUGGGAAUGGUGACAAAAAUAUAUACACCAUGAUAACAAUGGAAAGUCAGCCCUUUGCUAAGCAAAAGCCUAGCAAAGGCAGUAAAAUCUGGAAUGCAAUAAUCUUGCUAGGGAUCAAUGUGUUUUUAUGGGAGGGCAUAGCAAUACAAUGGUGAGAUGAGGAUGAUGACAAACACACAGGUUGCAAUCUAGUGACCAGAGCCCUAAGUGGGAAUUCCACUUGGAGAAUGGCAUAGUGAAUUGAACAUUUUAUCAUUAUGUUGUAACCCUCUGUGUCUAGAAUGAGGCUCUUGGUCUUAAAGACUGCUUUGCCAGAUACUAAAUAGUUUCUGGCAUGCACAUGCAAAUAUAUAUAUUUUCUCCCAUGCUUUUCUUUUUUUAAAGCCAUAAAUGGUAGCACUUUAUAUACCCCAUUCUACCCGUUGCUUUUCUCACUUAAAAUUAUAUAUCUUUGAGAUCUUUCCAUUCAUUGUACUUAUACAGUGGCCUAUUUUUUUAGUAGCUGCAUAGUAUUCCACUGUACAAAUAAACCAUACUUUAUUUAAGGAAUAUCAUCUAGAUGAACAUUGAGGUGGUUCCCAAUCAUUUUGCCAUUACAAACAAAUAUCCUUGUCACAUAUAAAUCUUUUAUCCAUUGAAAUUUAUUUGAUUUAAAGACUCAGAGACUUGGCUUUACUUUUUCCAUAUGACUAUUCAAUCUUUAAUCUACUGGUGCAAAAUACUCUAUUUUAUGCUAAAGUCCUGAAUGUUGUUGAUUCAAUUUAUGAACUCUCUUUUCUAAGGAAUUGGAUUUGAACUAUGUUCAACUUAAGCCACUAAGGCAUACUGCUUCCCCUACAGUAAAAUCUUUUCUUUUGGCUGGGUGUGAUGGCUCACAUCUGUAAUCCCAGCACUUUAGGAGGCUGAGGCAGGCAGAUCAUUUGAGGUCAGGAGUUUGAGACCAGCCUGGGCAACAUGGUGAAACCCCGUCUUUCCUAAAAAUACAAAAAUUAGCCAGGCGUGGUGGCACGCACCUGUAGUCCCAGCUACUCAGGAGGCUGAGGCAGGAGAACCACUUGAACCCGGGAGGCGGAGGUUGCAGCAAACCGAGAUUGCACCAUUACACUCCAGCCUGGGUGACAAAGCAAGACUCCGUCUCAAAAAAAAAAAAAAAAUUUAAAUUAAUUAAUUAUUAUUAUUUUUUG
rnacentral:lncRNA from 1 species